rnacentral:rRNA from 1 species
AUUGAACGCUGGCGGCAGGCCUAACACAUGCAAGUCGACGAUAGCGGCGGACGGGUGAGUAACACGUGGGUAACCUGCCCAUCAGAAGGGGAUAACACUUGGAAACAGGUGCUAAUACCGUAUACUGAUGGAUGGACCCGCGGUGCAUUAGCUAGUUGGUGAGGUAACGGCUCACCAAGGCCACGAUGCAUAGCCGACCUGAGAGGGUGAUCGGCCACAUUGGGACUGAGACACGGCCCAAACUCCUACGGGAGGCAGCAGUAGGGAAUCUUCGGCAAUGGACGAAAGUCUGACCGAGCAACGCCGCGUGAGUGAAGAAGGUUUUCGGAUCGUAAAACUCUGUUGUUAGAGAAGCGGUAUCUAACCAGAAAGCCACGGCUAACUACGUGCCAGCAGCCGCGGUAAUAC